GACAGAGGAUGCAAGCGUUAUCCGGAAUGAUUGGGCGUAAAGCGUCUGUAGGUGGCUUUUCAAGUCCGCCGUCAAAUCCCAGGGCUCAACCCCGGACAGGCGGUGGAAACUACCAAGCUGGAGUACGGUAGGGGCAGAGGGAAUUUCCGGUGGAGCGGUGAAAUGCAUUGAGAUCGGAAAGACACCAACGGCGAAAGCACUCUAGCUGGGCCGACACUGACACUGAGAGACGAAAGCUA
rnacentral:rRNA from 1 species